UGUACUGCGGUAUGACAGAACUGUGGGGACACGUAAGGAAAGCGGAAGCCGGGAAUGGAAAGCCCGGUGCAAGCGGGGUACCAGCCACUUUGGCAAAUCCGGGUGGCAAUGGGAAGCCGUGAUGCGGAGCGAAAUAAAGUAGCGAAGUCCGUGAGCCAUGCGUCAAGAAAAGCCGCUAUUGUUUAUACCGUACCCGUACCGUAAACCGACACAGGUGGAUGAGGAGAGAAUCCUAAGGCCGGCGGAAGAAGCAUUGUCAAGGAACUCAGCAAAAUGGCCCCGUAACUUAGGGAUAAGGGGUGCCUGGAAAACCAGGCCGCAGAGAAUAGGCUCAAGCAACUGUUUAGCAAAAACACAGGUCUAUGCGAAACCGAAAGGUGAGGUAUAUGGGCUGACGCCUGCCCGGUGCUGGAAGGUUAAGAGGAGAGGUUAGCGCAAGCGAAGCUUUGAAUUUAAGCCCCAGUAAACGGCGGCCGUAACAAUAACGGUCCUAAGGUAGCGAAAUUCCUUGUCGGGUAAGUUCCGACCCGCACGAAAGGCGUAAUGAUUUGAGCGCUGUCUCGACAAUGCAUCCGGUGAAAUUGAAGUACCAGUGAAGAUGCUGGUUACCUGCGCCAGGACGGAAAGACCCCAUGGAGCUUUACUCCAGUCUGGUACUGGGACUCGGUAUUGCAUGUACAGGACAGGUGGGAGGCUAGGAGAUGGUAACGCCAGUUGCCAUGGAGCCGCUGUUGGGAUACCACCCUUGCAGUAUUGGGUUUCUAACCAGCCGCCGUGACCCGGCGGUGGGACAAUGCCAGACGGGGAGUUUGACUGGGGCGGUCGCCUCCGAAAGGGUAUCGGAGGCGCCCAAAGGUUCCCUCAGAAUGGACGGAAACCAUUCGAAGAGUGCAAAGGCAGAAGGGAGCUUGACUGCGACACCGACGGGUGGAGCAGGUACGAAAGUAGGGCUUAGUGAUCCGGUGGUAUUAAGUGGGAAUGCCAUCGCUCAACGGAUAAAAGCUACCCUGGGAUAACAGGCUUAUCACUCCCAAGAGUUCACAUCGACGGAGUGGUUUGGCACCUCGAUGUCGGCUCAUCGCAUCCUGGGGCUGUAGUAGGUCCCAAGGGUUGGGCUGUUCGCCCAUUAAAGCGGUACGCGAGCUGGGUUCAGAACGUCGUGAGACAGUUCGGUCCCUAUCCGGCGUGGGCGUAGGAUAUCUGAGAGGAGCUGUCCUUAGUACGAGAGGACCGGGAUGGACGGGCCGCUGGUGCAUCGGUUAGACUGCCAAGUCUACGGCCGAGUAGCCAAGCCCGGAAGGGAUAAACGCUGAAGGCAUCUAAGCGUGAAGCCCCCCUUAAGAUGAGAUAUCCCAUUCGAAAGAAGUAAACCCCCUUGAAGACGACGAGGUAGAUAGGGCAGAGGUGGAAGUGCAGCAAUGCAUGGAGCUGACUGUUACUAAUCGGGUGAGGGCUUGACC
rnacentral:rRNA from 1 species